AGUCCAGCACGAGAUGAAGCGCGAAAGUGCAGAGGAAUAUGCUCAAUUUGUGUUUUAAACAGGGACCAGAUGUCGCUGAUGAGUGCUGACUUCAACAUUCACAGGAGACUCUGAACAUGCACAUCAUGUUGGUCAAAGUGAGAUUUGGUGAAACUCAGAAGUAUGUUAAAGUUGCCCAAACUGAAGAGGGUUAUGAGGACUACAACACAUUUCUUCCGAAAGGUUGGCAUUAUUUCAUUACACAUCACUUACUAUAAAUGUCUUUUCCAUUUACAAUGGGACUGUAAUCUGGUUAUAUUGCCCCAGCCACCAAGUUGUUUAUUGUGUUGGGCAGUAAUCAGUUCUUUGCAAACAGUCCAAAUGUAGAAUCUAAAAUGCAGAAAAAAAAAAAAAAAAAAAAAAA